AAUUAAUGAACUUGUUAAAGUAUAUAUUUUGAAAAUAUAAAAAAGAAGUUAAAAAUCUUCUAUUAAUUU
rnacentral:tRNA from 1 species